rnacentral:lncRNA from 1 species
UUUUCAUGAAACUACUCAAAAAGAAACUUGAACUCUGGGAACAAAUAGUGAUUAUUUUGAAAGUUCUCUCAUCUAUGGCACCCUAACUAUCAAAACAAUUUAGAUGUCUCUAUCUUCACAAAACUUUAAAAAAAUGUUGAUUCGUUUCUGUUUUUAUUUUUAUUUUUGAUUCUUUGUUUGUUUGUUUGUUUUUAGAAGGACACAACUCUUAAAACAGAAAAUGUAAAAGAAGAAAAUAAAAACCUCCCCAAACAACCAUGGGACAACCGAGGCAAUAAGGGAAAUGCUGGUUCCUUCCUCAGGAGUCUUCUGUGUCCUACUGUGAGGCAGUAUGAGGAGAGUAGGGCCAUUAAACUUGUUUGGACUGAGAGAAUCACUUUCUGCCUGGUUGGAGUCUAAGAAGAAACACUAUGGAGCUUCACGAAUGGAGUGGCCAGACUGCCCAGGGAACAUUGAUCUGUACCCCACAACAACCCAGAGCUCAGAACAUAAACAAAGACACAUUUGGAAGCUCCUGCGGAGACCGAUAUCCAAGAUCAACAGAUCCUGCAAUUUGCUACUUCCUCCUCCCCCCCUCUCCUCCGAGGGGGCUUAUAUAAGUGACUCCUGAGGAAAAAAGGACAGAAAUUUGAGGCAAAUUAAGAAAAGUAGAGGAAGACACAUGGAGUACCAGGAUACAGGGUGAGAAGACCCACAUCUCCAUGUACUUAGGGGCAAUGCUCUUUCAUACGCAAAGGCCAUCAAGGUGCUCAGUGAAGAGCAUUUCUUCAGAAACAGAAGAGUCCUGAGAUUGAGGCUUCCUUUUAAGGCACUUGUUUUAGAUGACUUUUUCCUCUGCCACUUCUAAAGAUAUCAGAAAUAUAUGAUCUUAGAAUUUGAAGCAAAAACAGACAUGUUUAACUGAACCAGUUCAGCACCUGUCCCUAGGGCUUUCCUGACAGAGACCUGACUAUGGCCCUGAUUUAGCUUAAGGGCAGUUCUAAAUAACUUGGACAGAUUUGUGGGCAGUGUCUUUGAGAUGACAUUUAACGACACCAACCCAAAUCUACCCACAACUGGUUUUAACACCACAGUAACUUUACAAGGAAGGUGGGGACUCUAAGGCUUAUCACUUCCGUGUAUGGCUUUCAUCCCAGUCAACUUCAUGCAUCAACCAAAAUGCGAUAUUUCUGAUAACCAGUAUUUGACUAUUCAGUUAUAUUUCUCCUGCUGUUGGCCUGUUCCCCCUUGACUUUCUGUGCGAUUGCUCCUAAACAUGUUCCUUCUCUUUCACUGUAAACCUCUAUUCUUUCAUAAAUAAAUUGAUGGUGUACCUCA